CUUCCAGUGGCUUGGAGAUGGCAUCCGGAACAAGCUGUUCCAACAGCUUUCCAGGGACAGAGGACCCCCAAGUCCUUCUCCGCGGGGCUGCUCUGAAGUUCUUCUUCUCCCAGCCUAUAGAGAUACCUAGGAUUGCCCCAGCCCAAGGUCAACGCCUUGCACUUAUGGCAUCCCUUCCCUCUAUUGUAUCGACUGCACCGCUCAGCUUGGUGUCAUCCGCAAACUUGCGCGAUUCCGUCGUCUGUGCCAUUGCUAAGGAUGUUGAAGAGCACCGGUCCCGAGCCCGACCCCUGAGGGACGCCACUUGUGACCGGCCUCCGCCCAGACAUAGAGCCGUUGGCCACAACCCUUUGGCCGCGACCAGCCAACCAAUUCUUUAUCCACCCAACAGUCCAUCCUUCAAAUCCCUACCUCUGCAAUUUAGAGAGAAGAAUGUGGUGAGGGACCAUAUCAAAGGCUUUGCUCGGUCCAGGUAGCAUAUCCUAUCCCAGGACUGGUUUCAGCCGUAAACAACAAACAGUUAUGAAGAGAGAUGUAGCUUUGUAAAU